AGUGAACGCUGGCGGUAGGCCUAACACAUGCAAGUCGAACGGCAGCACAGUAAGAGCUUGCUCUUACGGGUGGCGAGUGGCGGACGGGUGAGGAAUACAUCGGAAUCUACUUUUUCGUGGGGGAUAACGUAGGGAAACUUACGCUAAUACCGCAUACGACCUACGGGUGAAAGCAGGGGAUCUUCGGACCUUGCGCGAUUGAAUGAGCCGAUGUCGGAUUAGCUAGUUGGCGGGGUAAAGGCCCACCAAGGCGACGAUCCGUAGCUGGUCUGAGAGGAUGAUCGGCCACACUGGAACGGAGACACGGUCCAGACUCCUAAGGGAGGGAGCAGUGGGGAAUAUUGGACAAUGGGCGCAAGCCUGAUCCAGCCAUACCGCGUGGGUGAAGAAGGCCUUCGGGUUGUAAAGCCCUUUUGUUGGGAAAGAAAAGCAGCAGGUUAAUACCCCGCUGUUCUGACGGUACCCAAAGAAUAAGCACCGGCUAACUUCGUG
rnacentral:rRNA from 1 species